UUGUUUACUUCCUUAGGUCUGUCAUCUGAUAACAAACCUAUGGUUAACUUGGAUAAGCUGAAGGAAAGAGCUCAAAGAUUUGGUUUGAAUGUCUCUUCAAUCUCCAGAAAGUCUGAAGAUGAUGAGAAACUGAAAAAGAGGAAGGAGCGAUUUGGGAUUGUCACAAGUUCAGCUGGAACUGGAACCACAGAGGAUACAGAGGCAAAGAAGAGGAAAAGAGCAGAGCGCUUUGGGAUUGCCUGAUGAAAAGUUCUUGAUACUAUCUGUUCUCCAGUGUUUUCCAUUUCUCUCAUUCUUCUUGGUCACAUAUAUGCCUAAAUGCACAGUCACGUGCCUACGUCCUGCCUCGCAAUGAGGGAGCAUGUACCCCAGGUACAUCCGUGAACUGCGGCAGCAGUUUGACUUAUUGCUGUUUCAGCUUUAAGGUUGUUGUGUUUUUGUUUUUGAUUAUGUUGCUCGUUAAUAAAAAAAAAAAAAUAGAAAAGAGAA